rnacentral:tRNA from 1 species
UACUCAUUAGUUUAAUAACAUCAAACUGCAAGUUUGAACAAACUCUACUUAA